UGGUGGAGUGAUUUGUCUGCUUAAUUGCGAUAACGAACGAGACCUUAACCUGCUAAAUAGCCCGUAUUGCUUUGGCAGUACGCUGGCUUCUUAGAGGGACUAUCGGCUCAUGCCGAUGGAAGUUUGAGGCAAUAACA
rnacentral:rRNA from 1 species